CCGGGCUUCAGGGUCCCCUUGAGGACAGAGAUGUCCUUCUCAGCGUCCAGGAACUUCAGAAUCUGCUUUCUGGAAAAAAACAAAGAUGCUUGAGGAAGCCGCUUCCCUGCUACCCGUGGCCACCUGAAGUCACCUGUCCUCUGUCACCCUGCAGGGCCACGAUCACUGCGCCCUCAGGCGAGGCUGAAUCCAGACAUGCCCGAGAAGGGCGAACUGACAGGAACCCAACCUGAGAAGGGCGUCCUGACAGGAACCCAGCCUGCAGGAGGUGGCCAACCUGGUUGCUGUGGUUACGCCUUCAUCCCACAAGAGGUGGCAGUUGCCUGGGAGGUGACCCCAUUAGGACACCAGGUUUCAUCUCCAACCUCACCAAAACAAACUUACCUUCCCUGUAGUGGGGGAACAGAGUGACAGUCGAUGAUGAUCAGCAAUGGAAAAACCAAAUGAAGCUCAAACCUGUGAUCUCCAGAACUCUCUCCCACCUCAUCACAGGUGAGAACAAAUGAGGCUAAGAGAGGUGAGGCAAUUGCUCAAGGUUGCACAGCUGGUUCCUGCAGAAGACAACUUACAGGGGCUCCGAGGACUGUGUCUAGAGAGGAGGGACCCAGGACCAGAAGUGAAGGUAAGUACAGAAACAGUGUACACACAUCAGCAAAAUGGCCAAGGAGUCUGUGCUAGC